GAUGAACGCUGGCGGCGUGCCUAAUACAUGCAAGUCGAGCGAACAGACGAGGAGCUUGCUCCUCUGACGUUAGCGGCGGACGGGUGAGUAACACGUGGAUAACCUACCUAUAAGACUGGGAUAACUUCGGGAAACCGGAGCUAAUACCGGAUAAUAUAUUGAACCGCAUGGUUCAAUAGUGAAAGACGGUUUUGCUGUCACUUAUAGAUGGAUCCGCGCCGCAUUAGAUAGUUGGUAAGGUAACGGCUUACCAAGGCAACGAUGCGUAGCCGACCUGAGAGGGUGAUCGGCCACACUGGAGCUGAGACGCGGUCCAGACUCCUACGGGAGGCAGCAGUAGGGAAUCUUCCGCAAUGGGCGAAAGCUUGGCGGAGCAACGCCGCGUGAGUGAUGAAGGUCUUCGGAUCGUAAAACUCUGUUAUUAGGGAAGAACAAAUGUGUAAGUAACUAUGCACGUCUUGACGGUACCUAAUCAGAAAGCCACGGCUAACUACGUG
rnacentral:rRNA from 1 species